rnacentral:miRNA from 10 species
GCUCAUUCUAGGACGUUUUAAA